GCUAAUGCAGCAAACGUGCUGAGGGAUAAUGUGGGGGAUCUUCGGACCUCANGCUAUCAGAUGAGCCUAGGUAGGAUUACUAGUUGGUGGGGUAAAGGCCUACCAGGGCNACGAUCCGUAACUGGUCUGAGAGGAUGAUCAGUCACACNGGAACUGANACACGGUCCAAACCCCUACGGGAGGCAGCGGUGGGGAAUAUUGGACAAUGGGCGAACNCCUGAUCCAGCCUGCCGCGUGUGUGAAGAAGGUCUUCGGAUUGUAAANCACUUUAAGUUGGGAGGAAGGGCAGUAAGUUAAUACCUUGCUGUUUUGACGUUACCAACAGAANAAGCACCGGCCACUUCGUGCCAGCAGCCGCGGUAAUACGAAGGGUGCAGCGUUCAUCGUAAUUACUGGGCGUCAAGCGCGCCUAGGUGGUUCAGCAGUCCCAUGU
rnacentral:rRNA from 1 species